UUACAGAUAAGGAAACUGAGGCAAAUGGUUAAAUGAUUUGUCUGGGAUCAUACAGCUAGUGUUUUAAGCUGGAUUCGAAUUCAUCUUUCUGACUCCAGGCAAAAUUCAUCUGCUGAAAGAAAUUGCUCCAUUGUUCUCUCUAGAAGAAAAUUUGUCUUUGAUAUUAAACUGUUAUGAAGGAGUACAAAUGAAAGAGGAGAAAAUCUGUCAAGUAGCACUGGCUAUGGGAUCUAGGCAAUUCUCAAGAUACAGAGGAAAUGCUGUCCUACAUUGAUAGAGGGAAUUUCUUCAUCUAAAAGUUCAACCAGCCAUUAUUCUUCACCAUAUCAUUUCUUAUGCAGAUCUUUGAGAAAGAUGAUCACCACAGUAUUUUGAGGCUGAAUGGCAAAGCUGAUCAAGGGGACAACUGGAUUCAAAUACCACCACUGAUUCAUACUGACUGUGUGACCCUGGGUAAGUCAUAAAAAUUGAGGGAUAAUAGAUUUAGAACUGUUAAGAUACUGUAGAGGCCGUUUUUUUUUUCCAGCUCUCUUAUUUUAGAGGUGAAGAAACUAAAACACAGACAGAAGAAGUCACUAGCCUAUUAUUAUACUGGAAAUGACAAAGAGAGGAUUACAAAUUUUAUUUCAAUCAACAUUCAUUUAUUUUCUUCUCUACCCCAUUUUAUUGUUGUAAAAAAAAAAAAGAAAAAUGAGAGAUAAUUGGCUCAAAUACAGGACAAGGCAUAUAUUUUUUUGCUACAGUGCCUAGACAUAUGAGCACUAUUUAAAUGUGAGCUAUUAUUAUUAGUUCCCCCAAGUUAUAUAGUUAGUUAAGGUCUAAGGCAAAAUUUGAACUCAGAACUUCAAGAUACCUGGUCCUCUACUAUACUACCUAAUUGCAAUCUUUGAUAUCUUCUUAUCUAUGGGAUAAAAUAGAGAUCACUUAGUUUAGCUUUUAGGACCAUCUGAAACUUGUCUCUGAUCUAGCAUUCGAGUUGUAUUUAACAUGUCUUUAUCAUAUGUAUUGUACUAUAGCCAAUUUAAACUGCUAAUUGUUCCCCAAUAAUAUCCUAUACUUUUCUACCUUAGCAAAUUUUUACAGGCUGAAUAACCACCCUCCAAAUUCUAUGUCUGUUAAAAUUCUAUAUCUCCUGAGUUUAACUCCAUUGCUA